GUUAUUUGCUUCGGCAGUACAUAUACUAAAUUUGGAACGAUACAGAGAAGAUUAGCAUGACCCAUGCAUGCCCUGUUAGAUUAAGAGUAAUGGAAGCCACUUUUUU